ACACAGUCCCCCAGUGCCUCUUCCUUAAGAGGAUUCAGGGCCAACUCCCAAGGCUGUUAUGGGGUCGUGUGAGAUGUGGGCGCUAGUGGGGCUGCCUCCGGUCAACAGCUCCGGUUCCUCCAGCAUCCACAAUGGGACAGGCUCUGCCCUCAGGGCUGGGGGCACACUGGGAGAUCGGCCCCAGUCCAGCCCACGGGGAGGCUGCUUCCCUCGGCAGGGAAGGGCAAUGAGAAGGCGCUGCCGGGUCACUGAGGACGGUGGCUAGGGGGCUGCGGGGAAGAGCAUGGGCUCCGCGGCACCAGACGCAGCACACAGGCUAUGGGAUUCCCAGCACGUCACUCAACCUCAGUGCUGUUCCAUUUUCUCAGCAGGGACCGAACAAUACUUACCGGAUCGCGUUGGUAAGACUAAACAAGGGAGUUCAAGUAACUCUACACAACGUUUGGCCCCGAGUAAAGUUACGCAUCCGCCUUAACAACGAUCAUCGUCACAAUAAGGACUGUGGGCAGCAUCGUGGUGGAACAGCACGGGUGGGACAGAGAGGCUCGGCAGAAAGACCGAAUCCAGUCUGACGGUGGGAGGAGGCGAGAGGGUCAGGGGCAGUUUCUCGGAAAGGACAUCUGCGUUUGGACCCAAAGAAGACCGUGUGUGCAGUUUUCCCUUUGAUUUGCUGUGUGGAUAGACAGCACGUUCCUUCCGUGGACUAUACAACCUCCUAUUGAUAUCGGAAUUACUGAGCUGAACCACGGUCACGACAGAGCCUUCGAGCACAGCGGAGUUAACAAGCUGCCCAGACAAGACAGGGAUUUUUAUCUACUUGAAGGCAUCUGUGAUUACUCCAGGGCUUUUCCAAUUCAAAGACUCAGUGGUAAAUUCUGAUUGCUAAACCGAAAGACAGAUCACUAAAUAACUCAGACAGCCUCUUCCCGUUUGCCAAGUGAGUGAAGCUUCCGCUUCCACAUCACACCGACUGCAGACUUACCGAGGUCGAUAAGGAUCGCGUGCUGUUGGGAGGUGAGCCGUUUUAAGAGUUCUUUGUAUGGCGUGUCCUUUGGCUGCUGUUUACUGGGAAACUGGUGUUGAAGGCGGUAUUGCUCUGCUAGAAACUUCCAGAUUUCCCCCCGGAGAUGACGUGGCACACCUAUGGGGAGGAGGGGUGGCAGAAAAUGUGUUUCAUGCUCAGAGAACAAACUAAUAAUGAGUUAAAUUUCAUCCCAUUGACCCGGCCUCUUGUUGCAUAUGGAUUGACAGCACUGAAAUGGAAAGGAAGCAACCGGAAGUCUGUCCUGUCUACUACUCCCCUUCUUCCCUCCGUCCUUCCCCGUCAGCCCCUAUUUCCCCGGCCUCUCACUUUCCUUUCAGCUCUCAAAUGCGUACUAUGUUCGGACAGAGCUAGACUCAGCAAGGCAUGAACUGGCGAAUGGCACGAGCCCCUAUCUGGUGCCGAUUAGUAACAGUCUAAGGAAAGACGUCGGGCGCAUGAAGUUACAGUGCACAGUGUCUCGUACAAAGGACGUGAGCUGAGUGAGGGGGUUUCGGAAGAAGGAGAGCAAGAGGUCAUGGAAUCCUUCAUCACUUGUGCCAAGAUGUCAGAGCGUGGGAGGGAAGAGAGAAGAUGAGUCGCAGGAAGAAACUAGAAAUGUUUCCGAGCCUCGGGCAAUGGCACGCACGUGUGGAGGAAGCAGGCGGCCGUCAGGCUGGAAGGGUUUUAUUAAGAGGUGAGAUUAAGGGUAAGCAACCUGCACCUUAUUUGGCAGCUCUUGGGAGCUACGGAAUGUUUCUGAGCUGGGGAGGGAGAGGCCUAAUUGGGGAAUACUGCUUAGACCCCGUGUGCCAGGUGGGUGGAGACAGGGAGGAGAGGCUGGACACCGUCCACAUAAAUGUGCCUCUGGGAACAUUCAACCGGGACCUGAAAACAAGAGAAGCUUUCCAAGAGCCGCUACUCCGUGUUUUAAAUACACUGAUUUGAAUACUCCAAGUGAUUCAAAGUGGCAUCUGAAGUGUCAUACGAAAAGUUCUCUUAAAGCCAAUGAUGUUAUUUAAGGCAAACUUCAGCAGCAAAAGUGAUGGCUUUGAUUCAAAACUUUUUGGUUGACCAUUCUACUGUUGUUACGAGGCCCAAACGCAGACAUGGGGAGAAAAGAGAGCCCACAGAGUAAGACACCAAAUCUUUCUCAUCUCCCACAAGAGCUCUCUUGAGAGAAAAGGAAGCUCUGAUUUCGGGACUGAGCUUUCCUUCCAUUCAGGAAAAACUGUGACUGCUUUGUCCACUUCCUGCUACUUAGGGUGCCUGCCCAGGAAGACCGCUUCCCUGGCUUUCCACUGGCCAUGCCUCAGAGAAGUCUCAGCAGCAGGUGACAUUCACUGUGAGGUCACCGGGCACUGCCAGCAUUCUAAGCACUCUGUCACCCCCACGACCUGCUGAGGGAAACAGGGCAAUGACCCUCAUAGUAAAGACAAGGAAACUGAGGCCAACAAGCACAGAACCCUCACCGGAGAUCAGCCAGUCGCUGGCUGGGAGCAGAGCCGAGAAAGGGACUGCUGUUUCCCUCUUCAUGUCUUCCCUGUCACAACAGUGAGACAAGCUGCUACUGGAAAAAUGUAUCUUGUGUUCCUGCCUGGCAGUUAGUAAUAAAAUCAUCGUGUGUGGCUCUGAA